CCUUCCCCAGUGCUGAAAGCAUUGCUUUCCACAUGUGCCCCCUCCUUCUUCUGCCUUCACGUGCUGCUUAUUAUAUCCCCCCAUUUUUAAUUAUAUCUUGAUUUUCGUAAAAUGAUAAUUUGUUGUUAUGUUUCUGGAAUGCAAACGUGAGCGUAAUGGGAUCUAUUUUUCAGAGUUGCCAAAACAAAUUAAGGAGAACGUUCGGCUCUUCCUUUGCCAAAUGUUUUAGUGUUUUUCCAUGAAAGCAAAUCUUAUUUCGAACUGUAUAUUAAAGCUUAAGUAAAUAAUGCAGCCUGUGAGUAGCAAAUUCUAUUGUAAAAUCAGUUACUGUUUGCAGGCUUUGCUGGUGAUACCUGCGCAGGGCUCUGCCUGGGAAGAAUCAGGGUAACAAUGAAAUGUUGUUCAUUUUAAUUUGCCUUUUGCAGAGCGGGAAAAGCUGAACUUUUUUUCCCGAGUGCUGGACGCAGCCCCCAUAAAUAUGGAGCAUUUGUUGUGGCCGCCUGACGGAUGCCCAGGUAAAUGGGCUUUUGAACACGCAGACAGCCGCCAGAAAGGAAAAAAAAAAAAACAAACCAAAACAAAAACAACAAAAAAACGAAACCCCAAGAUUUUUUGCAAAUUCAGGAAACACUUGAGAGGUAAAACCAACAUCCUGAGACAGGAGACAAGGCCAGCUUUUGACACCGGGCUGGACCUGCGAGGCCGAAGGAAACCUGGAGCCAGGAAGCGGCCGCUGCCGGGGUCAGGCCGCGGGGGACCCCGCUCCUCGCCGCGCACCGCAGGCCCCCACCGGCCUUUUCAUGGGAAAUUUGCUGAAAAUUUGCUGAUCUGCAUGAAACAUUUAUUGGAGGGGGAGAGGAAGAGCCUUUCCUUGGCUUCUUGUGGGUUCCUGGUUCAUAUGGCACUAAGUGGGGAGCAUAAUGUAUGCGAGGAGGCGGCAGGGCUCAGAGGCCCCGCGUCCAUUUUUUUCCUCACUGUGUGAUACACAUGGAAAAUUAUCAAUACCUCGCUCUAGCAGAUUCCUUCAAUUUGCCUGUAUUUGUUCAAACUUUUGAGAGAGCACCGGAUGUUUAAUGCUUCAUUUAUGAUUUAUGCUCCAUAAAUGUAUUAAAACAUUAACCAUAUUUCUGCUAUGGCAUACUUGAAUCCUCCCGGGGAAAAGCCGGAGUGUUUCUCAGGCUGCUACUCCGGCUUCCCUGAGGAGCGAGAUUAUUUGUGUUGUG
rnacentral:lncRNA from 1 species